GUGAUUUGUAAGGAAAGGGUGUGGGAACCAAGUGGAGACAAUAAAAAUCAAAGGGAUUUUUGAAAGGACCUAGUGAGAGACCCAUUUCUCCUACCCUUGAAACUUAGAGGAUGUAGCUAUGAACUUACUAGACUCAAAGUCUUAAAAUGAAGCGAGUCUAGAAUUAAAGGCAUGAAUAGAAACAAAUAAAAAAAAUGAUCCUGAUGGCAUCAAUUGAGGCCCAGCAUGAACCCUGCUGCCUGAAGCUUGCCUUCCUUCCCAACUUUUUUCAGAUACCUGAGUUGACAACUUCUCUUUUUUAUUUAAGUCAAUUGAAUUAUAUUUGUUGUGCUAGCCAGUUUUUCAUUGCUAUGUCCAAAAUUCCUGACAAGAAUAACUUAGAGAAGGAAAAGUGUAUUUGGGGCUUACAGUCUCCGAGAUUUACUUCAUGGUUAGCUGACUCCAUUGCUUUGAGCCUGAAGUGAUGCAGAACAACAUGGUGGAAGAACAUGGUGGAGGAAAGCUGCUCAGUUCAUGGCAGCCAGGAAGCAGAAAGUACCCAAGCAUCAAGGGUCAAGAUACAUUCCCCUAGGACAGUCCCCAGUGUCCCACUUCCUCCAGCUACACCCUACCUGUCUAUGUGGACCACCCAGUAGUCCAUUCAAAUUAUGAUCCCAUCAAAUGGAUUGCUCCACUGAUGAUGCUACAACUCUCGUAAUCUAAUCAUUUACCUCUGAACAUUUCUGAAUUAGCUAAUAUGUUGUGGAGAGUGCAUUUCCAAAUCCAAACCAUAAUGUUCAAGGUGAUUUAUAUAUGACUAAUUCCUCACAAUAAGGGAGUAAGGACUGUCCAUUCCUGGCUUCCUUUUCCAUGCUAGCCCAAUAAAUAUACUAGUUUCUAUAUCCCUCAGGUUACCCUUUUGAAAAAAUAGGAAAAGUUACCUGCUUCAAAGCCUUACGAAGAUUAAAUGUUUAUAAUAUACAUAAAGGCACAAAUUUGGGGGUAGGGGGAUGGCUCGGUAGCAAAACACUAGCCUAACAUACAUGAGACCCUGAGUUCAAUCCCUAGCAGUACAAAAUAAAAGUGAGGAACAGGAGAAAAUGUUUUCCAAAGUUCUUAAGUACAAGCAGCAUGUGAUGUUUCUAAAUUAAAUUUGGUGAAAAAACCCCACUUUGAAAAGUAGGAAGAUAUCCAAUAUUAGUCAUUCGUGGGGACCUUUUGCCUGUUUAUUUAGUAUAAAGCAAUAUGCCAACGUUGGACAAUGCAAUGUUUUGUCUCAGUUCAUAAGCUAAUGGGCCUUGACUACUAGUCUUAUCAGCAAACAUCAUUUCAUCCCUUAAAAAAAUCCUUCUACCUCCUAGAGGACUUCAACAUAGCACCCAUCCACUUAAGAAACCCAUCUUUAUAUUUUUUUUCUGAAGUCACUGGAGCUGCUACUACCAUUAAACAGCUCUCUCUCUUUCAACCUAGGAUCUGUGUCAACUUUGCCCUCCUCCUUCUUCCCUUAUCAGAACACUAAUUAAAUAUCUUUCCCACAUGCAAAUCUGGAUGGCACUAUCCAACACACUAUCUAACAUUUGUCUCAAAACUUCUGUUUUAAGUUAAGAAACAUGAAAAAUAUUAAUAACUUUUGGAUCCAAGAGCUCAGAAAUUUCUGGUAGACAAAGAUGGAAACAAUUUUGAUUCCUGUGGGUGUUCCCUCUGGUAGGGAGUAGAAACAUCAGAAUAUAACUUGGUCAAGGACCAUGCGACAAAUGAAGAUGACCUAAAUAAAGUUGUAUAAGUAGGUAGAGCAAGAAUCCCUACAGAGGAAAUCACUCAUUCUUGUUGCGAGCAUAACCUCUCUCCCACAGUAAGGCAUUGGUAAACUUACAUAAUCAUCAUGUGGGCUCACCCUUGCUCACCUCAAUUUGGAGAGAUUACUUCCUAGAUGCUCUGUGAAUGCAAACUCUAACUGUCUCAUCCAACGUUUCUCUGAAUAGAAGCGAAUAUCUGGGUGCCAGGUAUGACUUCUUAUGUGACCUCAAGCCAAUCACUCAAACUCUUUCAUCCUCCACAUCUCUUGAUUAGAGUCCAAUAUCCAAAAAGAAACAAAGAUAAGAAUUGCGGACAAAUUCAACACAAACCAUACAAACAUAAAGAAACAGUAGAGUGAAAUAUUUAAAGGGUUGAAAUAAAAAGAAGCAUCAAAUUCAAAUUCUAUAUCCAGAGAAAUUACACUUCAAAAUUGAAAAAUAAAUGAAAUAUUUCUCUAACAAAGAGAGAAAGAGAGAGAAGGAAUCAUUAUUAGAAGAAUCAUCCUGCAAGAAAAGACAAAAAAUGUGGGGCCAGUAGGGUGGUUUUGUCCUAUAACCCCAGCUAAUCAGAAGGUAGAAGCAAGAGAAUGCAAUGUUAUAGGACAGCCACAGCAACUUAGCCAGAUGCUGUCUAAAAUUUAAAAAAUAAAAUAGUCUGAGGAUUUGGCUCAAAUGCAGAGUGCCCCUGGAUUCAAUGCCAAGUAUAGAGAGGAAAAAAAGUUAAAUUAAACUCUUUAGGGAGAAGAAAAAUAAUGUUAUCCGAUCCAUAUAAAAGAUAAGAAAAUGACUGGUGAGAGAAUAAAUGAAAAUAAACUAAAAUUUUUAUUUUCUUAUUUUUUUCUGCCCACCUACCAAUGUUGGUUCUAUUUGUUUCCAUAUUGUUAUGGGAAUUUAGUGUUGUACAUAAUGAGGGAAUUCGUUGUUGCAUAUUUGUACAUACUCACAACAUAACAAUAUAAUUUUGCCCAUAUUCUUUUCCAUGAUUUCCUCGUUUUCUCACUUCCUCUCUCCUCCUAUCCCCUUUUCUCUACUCUACUGAUUUGCUUUCAAUUUUUGUGAGACAAUACACCCCUUUUCCCUUUUUCCUCCCUAGCUUCCAUAUAUAAGAGAAAACAUACAACCCUUGACCUUCUGAGUUUGACUUAUUUUGUUUAUUAUAAUUGCCUCAAGUUCCAUCUACUUUCCUGCAAAUGACAUAAUUUCAUUUUUCUUUAUGGCUGAGAAAAACUCCAUUUUGUAUGGAUACUACAUUUUCUUUACCUGUUCAUUGGUUGAUGGAUACCUAGAUUUUUGGUUCAAUAUUUUUGUUAUUGUGAGUUGGGCUGCCAUGAACAUGUGUAUGAAUGUAAUGCUGUACUAUGAUGACUUAAAAUUCUUUAGGAUAAAUACCAGGGAGUAAUACAGCUGGGUCACAUUGUGGUUCCCUUCCUAGUCUUUUGAGAAAACUUCAUACUAACUUCCAGAGUCGUUGUGUUAAUUUACAAUCCCACCAACAGUGUGCAAAUGUUUCAUUUUCUUCAUAUUCUCUCUAGCAUUUAUUAUUUUUUGUAUUCUUGAUGGUUGCCAUUCUCUUGGAGUGAGAUGAAAUCUCAGUGUUAUUUUCAUUUGCACUUCCGUAAUUGCUAAUAAUGUUAAACAUUUUUUUGUAUAUUUUUGGCUAUUUGUAUUUCUUCUUUUGAGAAAUGAACAUUUAGUUCAUUUCCCCAUUUAUUAAUUGGAUUAUUUGCUUUUGCAGGGGCAAACAUUUUUAGUUCUUUAGUUAUCUUAGAACAAGCUUCAAAGUCUGUAACAUAUUUUGUAAUUUGUACACCAGAAGGAGAAGAAAGUUUCAAGCUAAAGAAAUAUUUGAAGGAAUAAUUGAUAAAAUUCUGGAUAUAAUUCUCUGGAUAUAAUUCUCUCUCUGAAGAGUAGCUAGCAACAAUUGUCUUCCAUUUCUACAUUCUGUCUUCACAUUCUUAAUUGUUUUCUUUGCUGUGAAGAAACUUUUUAAUUUGAUGCCAUUUGGUUUAUUAACUUCUGGCCUUAUUUCUUGAGCCUUUAGGGAUACUAUUGAGAAAGUUAUUGGCUGUAAGCUGCAUAGUUGAACCUAUAUUUUCUUCAAGGAGUUGCAUAGUGUCUGGUCUAAUUGUGAGGUCUUUCAUCUAGUUUGAGUUGACUUCUGUGCAGGGCAAGAGAUAAGGAUUUAAUCUCAUUCAUCUACAUAUAGAUAACCAGUUUCCCCAGCACUAUUUGUUUAAAAAGCUAUCUUUCCUUCAAUGAAUGUUUUUGGCGCCAUUGUCAAGAAUCAGAUGACUGUAGACUGUGAAUUUGUCUCUGUGUCUUCUAUUCUGUCCCAUUGGUUUGUGUAUCUAUUUUUAUGCCAGUACCAUGAAGUUUUGGUUACUAUAACUCUAUAAUAUAAUUUGAAAUCAGGCAUUGUAAUGCAUUCAGCAUUGCCUUUUCUGGCUUAGAGUUGCUUUAGCUAUUCUGGGUCUUUUAUUCUUCCACAUGAAUUUUAGGACUACUUUUAAUAGUUCUGUGAAGAAUUUCAUUUUGAUGGGGAUUGGAUUGAACCUGGAUAUUUAUUUUGGUUGCAUGUCCAUGUUAACAAUACUAAUUCUGCCUAUCCACUAAUGUGGGAGAUCUUUCUAUCUUCUUUAUCUUUUCAAUUUCUUUUUUCAAUGUUUUAUAGUUUGCAUUAUAGAGAUCUUUCACCUCCUUGGUUAUAUUAAUUCCUGGGACUUUGUGUGAGGAGGUAUGGGAGUUAUUUUUGAUAGGACUAGUUUCAUGAUUUCUUUCUCAACAGGUUUUUUUUGGGGGGGGGACGGUAGGGGAGGUAACAGGGUUUGAACUCAGGGGCACUUAACCACUGAGCCACAUCCCCAACACCUAUUUAUUUAUUUAUUUAUUUAUUGUAUUUGUAUUUUAGAGACAGAUUCUCACUGAGUUGCUUAGGGCAUCACUAAGUUGCUGAGGCUGGGUUUGAAUUUGCAAUCCUCCUGCCUGAGCAUUUGAGCAUCCUGACCUUCUGGGAUUACAGGCAUGCACCACUGCAUCUAGCUAGCAGAUUCAUUAUUGGUGUAUAAGAAGGCUAUUAACUUUUGUAUAUUGAUUUUGGAGCCUGUUGCUUUGUGAAGUUUGUUUAUUAGCUCUAAAUGUCUUCUGGUGGAGCUUUAUGGAUCUUGUAAGUAUAGGAUCAUAUCUUCAAACAGUGAUAAUUUGAGUUCUUCCUUUCCUAUUUUUAGCCCUUUUAUUUCCUUCCCUUGCCUAAUUGCUCUGAACAGAACCUAGAACUAUAAUGAAUAGGAGUAGUGACAUAUCUUUAAGGAAAUUCUUUCAGUUUUUCCCCAUUCACUGUGCCAUUGACUUUGAGUUUUCAUAUAUAGCCUUUAUAAUGUUGAGGUGAGUUCCUUCCAGCUUCAUUUCUUAUAUAUUGUAUAUAUAAAGUAUAUACAAUAUAUAAAAUACAUAACUAUAUAAAAUAUUUGCUAAUAUUUUAUUGAGAAUUUUUGCAUAUAAUUUCGUCAGGGAUAUUGGUCUGUGGUUUUCUUGAUGCAUCCACCUCUGGUUUUGGUAUAAGUGUGAUACUGGCUUUUUAGAAUAAAUUUGAAAGUAUUUUAUCAUUUCCUAUUUCAUGGAAUAAUUUCAGGACCAUUUGCAC
rnacentral:lncRNA from 1 species